AAGCAGGAAGUACAUGGAGUUAAAGUAGGAAGUACAUGAAACUAGUUGCCAUUGGUAGGCAGGUGAGACCUUGGGUAAGUGGGCCUUGAUUGACUACUGGGGAAACAAAGAGAAGGCAUUUCUAUUGGCUGUUGAGGAGCAGGAAGUACAUGGAGUUAAAGUAGGAAGUACAUGAAACUAGUUGCCAUUGGUAGGCAGGUGAGACCUUGGGUCAUUCUGAGUCAUAGAAACCAGAGAUGGACACGCUCCUUAAUGCAAGGGCUGGACCACAGGACUAGGAGGGACAACUCUCAUGGAAACGGCAGGAGCCUCCUCUAUCAGAAACCAGGACGCAAAUGCCUUCUGAAGGCCAGACGGGUAAAGAGUCCCUGAAAUGGACUGAAGAGAUGAAUUCAAAAGGGAAGAGUUCCCAGGAGUCCUUCAGUCCAACCAGUCUUAAGCAGCAAGAUACAGAUACACGAGAUGAAAAAUAAAAUGUUUCCCACUAUGAUCUAUGGUUUUAAUAUUAGGGAUCAAUUUAAUUUUAACUGUGAUCUCUCCCCACUACCAAGUUGUCAAAUGUGAUUUUACAGUACCCUCAUCCGGAAGGGGUAACAAGGGGCUGUUGAAAGACCAGUGGACUUGGAACCAAAAGAUGUCCUGGAGUCCUUUCGUUCCUCAGCUGCUGGUAGGGUGACUUUGGAUAAAGAACCCCACUUCUCUAUGUUCUGAUUGCUUCAGCUUUCUUUCAAU